UAGGGAAUAUUGCACAAUGGGGGAAACCCUGAUGCAGCCAUGCCGCGUGUGUGAAGAAGGCCUUAGGGUUGUAAAGCACUUUCAGUAAGGAAGAAAAAGCUGGGUUAAUACCCCAGUCUUAUGACAUUACUUACAGAAGAAGUACCGGCUAACUCCGUGCCAGCAGCCGCGGUAAUACGGAGGGUACGAACGUUAAUCGGAAUUACUGGGCGUAAAGCGCGCGUAGGUGGUUCAUUAAGUGGGAUGUGAAAGCCCCGGGCUUAACCUGGGAACUGCAUUCCAAACUGACGAACUAGAGUACGAUAGAGGGAGGUAGAAUUCAGAGUGUAGCGGUGAAAUGCGUAGAUAUUCUGAGGAAUACCGGUGGCGAAGGCGGCCUCCUGGAUUGAUACUGACACUGAGGUGCGAAAGCGUGGGGAGCAAACAGGAUUAGAUACCCCCGUAGUCC
rnacentral:rRNA from 1 species